ACGAACGCUGGCGGCGUGCUUAACGCAUGCAAGUCGAACGGUAAGGCCCCUUCGGGGGUACACGAGUGGCGAACGGGUGAGUAACACGUGAGCAACCUGUCCUUGACUUCGGAAUACCAGCUGGAAACAGCUGCUAAUACCGGAUAUGACACUUGCCCUCAUGGGUGGGUGUGGAAAGCUCCGGCGGUCAGGGAUGGGCUCGCGGCCUAUCAGCUUGUUGGUGAGGUAAUGGCUCACCAAGGCUUCGACGGGUAGCCGGCCUGAGAGGGCGACCGGCCACACUGGGACUGAGAUACGGCCCAGACUCCUACGGGAGGCAGCAGUGGGGAAUAUUGCACAAUGGGCGCAAGCCUGAUGCAGCAACGCCGCGUGCGGGAUGACGGCCUUCGGGUUGUAAACCGCUUUCAGUAGGGACGAAGCUAACGUGACGGUACCUACAGAAGAAGGACCGGCUAACUACGU
rnacentral:rRNA from 1 species